rnacentral:rRNA from 1 species
GAUGAACGCUAGCUACAGGCUUAACACAUGCAAGUCGAGGGGCAGCGGUAUCGAAAGCUUGCUUUCGGUAGCCGGCGACCGGCGCACGGGUGAGUAACGCGUAUCGAACCUGCCUCAUACUCGGGAAUAGCCUUGCGAAAGUAAGAUUAAUGCCCGGUGUUUUCAGAGUCCCGCAUGAGGCUUUGAACAAAGAUUUAUCGGUAUGAGAUGGCGAUGCGUCCCAUUAGCUUGUUGGCGGGGUAACGGCCCACCAAGGCAUCGAUGGGUAGGGGUUCUGAGAGGAAGGUCCCCCACAUUGGAACUGAGACACGGUCCAAACUCCUACGGGAGGCAGCAGUGAGGAAUAUUGGUCAGUGGGCGGAAGCCUGAACCAGCCAAGUAGCGUGCAGGAAGACGGCCCUCCGGGUUGUAAACUGCUUUUAGUUGGGAAUAAAACGGGGCUCGUGAGCCCCCUUGCAUGUACCAUCAGAAAAAGGACCGGCUAAUUCCGUG